AAGAAAGUAAAUAAGGGCACACGGGGGAUGCCUAGGCUCUCAGAGGCGAUGAAGGACGUGAUAAGCUGCGAUAAGCUUCGGGGAUUAGCAAAUGUGAGUUUGAUCCGAAGAUUUCCGAAUGGGGCAACCUAGCAUACUGAAGGUAUGUUGUAAAAUACGCGAACGCGCUGAACUGAAACAUCUAAGUAGGCGUAGGAGAAGAAAAUAAUAAUGAUUUCCCAAGUAGUGGCGAGCGAACGGGAAAGAGCCCAAACCG
rfam:Spinacia oleracea cultivar SynViroflay scaffold86590.con0002.1, whole genome shotgun sequence.